GUCUGCCGAGAGCCUGGGCCAGACGCCCGGAGAGGUGUGAACUACCCUGCCACUGCCUGAGUCUGCCGAGAGCCUGGGCCAGACGCCCGGAGAGGGGUGACCUGCCCUGCCGCUGCCUGAGUCUGCCGAGAGCCUGGGCCGGAUGCCCGGAGAGUGGUGACCUGCCCUGCCGCUGCCUGAGUCUGCCGAGAGCCUGGGCCAGACGCCCGGAGAGGGGUGACCUGCCCUGCCGCUGCCUGAGUCUGCCGAGAGCCUGGGCCGGAUGCCCGGAGAGUGGUGACCUGCCCUGCCGCUGCCUGAGUCUGCCGAGAGCCUGGGCCAGACGCCCGGAGAGGUGUGAACUACCCUGCCGCUGCCUGAGUCUGCCGAGAGCCUGGGCCAGACGCCCGGAGAGGGGUGACCUGCCCU